CUGAGCCGGGUCCUGAAUCAUACUGUGGGAGGGAAAGUCCAGCAGACCAUCCUGGCCCUCAACUGAACCGGGUCCUGGAUCAUACUGAGUCUAGUGGACCAUCCUGG